rnacentral:rRNA from 1 species
UGGGGAAUAUUGGACAAUGGGCGCAAGCCUGAUCCAGCCAUGCCGCGUGAGUGAUGAAGGCCUUAGGGUUGUAAAGCUCUUUCGCCGGUGAAGAUAAUGACGGUAACCGGAGAAGAAGCCCCGGCUAACUUCGUGCCAGCAGCCGCGGUAAUACGAAGGGGGCUAGCGUUGCUCGGAAUCACUGGGCGUAAAGCGCACGUAGGCGGAUCGUUAAGUCAGGGGUGAAAUCCUGGAGCUCAACUCCGGAACUGCCCUUGAUACUGGCGAUCUCGAGUUCGAGAGAGGUUGGUGGAACUCCGAGUGUAGAGGUGAAAUUCGUAGAUAUUCGGAAGAACACCAGUGGCGAAGGCGGCCAACUGGCUCGAUACUGACGCUGAGGUGCGAAAGCGUGGGGAGCAAAACAGGAUUAGAUACCCUGGUAGUCCACGCCGUAAACGAUGGACGCUAGCCGUUGGGGGGUUUACCUCUCAGUGGCGCAGCUAACGCCUUAAGCAUCCCGCCUGGGGAGUACGGUCGCAAGAUUAAAACUUAAAGGAAUUGAC